rfam:Puccinia triticina 1-1 BBBD Race 1 supercont2.16, whole genome shotgun sequence.
GGGCAGAUGGCCGAGUGGUCUAAGGCGCUAGUUUUAGGUGUGUCAGCGGUUUCUGGCGAGUUAACAUCACUAGUCUUCGGGCGUGGGUUCAAAUCCCACUCUGCUCA